rnacentral:snRNA from 1 species
CAGCGGUACAUGUAUGUUAUGCUAAAAUUUGAACAAUACAGAGUAGAUUAGUAUUGCGACUGCACAAGGUAGAAGUUUGUAUUGAUGUGAGCGAAUUUAUA